UACGGAGGGUGCAAGCGUUAUCCGGAUUCACUGGGUUUAAAGGGUGCGUAGGAGGGCAGGGAAGUCCGUGGUGAAAUCUCCGAGCUUAACUCGGAAACUGCCGUGGAUACUCUCUGUCUUGAAUCCCGUGGAGAUGAGCGGAAUAUGUCAUGUAGCGGUGAAAUGCAUAGAUAUGCCAUAGAACACCAAUUGCGAAGGCAGCUGGCUAGACCUGGAUUGACGCUGAGGCACGAAAGCGUGGGGAGCGAACAGG
rnacentral:rRNA from 1 species